AACGACCGCUGCCCGCAUGCCUAGCACCUGCAACUCGAACGAACCCUUCGGGUCUAUUGGCGCACGGGGGCGUCACGCGUGUUAACCUGCCCCUACGUUCGGAAUAACUCAGAGAAAUCUGUUCUCAUACCGGGUUAUUUCUUCCCACCUAAGACUUAUCGCCUUUGGCUGGGCCCGCGUUGUCUUAGCUCGUUGGUGUGGUAAAGGCCUACCAAGGCUAGGAUCCCUAGCUGGUCUUAGAGGAUGAUCCGCCACACUGGGACUGAGACACGGCCCAGACUCCUACGUGAGGCAGCAGUGGGGAAUACUCGACUAUGCGAGAAGGAGUGAUCCAGCAGUGUGGCGUGAGUGAUGAAGACCUUAGCGGUGGAAAGGUCCAUUAACCGAGAUCAUAAUGAGAGUAGCCUGAAAAUAAGGGCCGGCUAACUUCGUG
rnacentral:rRNA from 1 species